AGCGCAGACGGUUAUUUAAGCAAGAUGUGAAAGCCCCGGGCUCAACCUGGGAACUGCGUUUUGAACUGGGUAACUAGAGUGUGUCAGAGGGGGGUAGAAUUCCACGUAUAGCAGUGAAAUGCGUAGAGAUGUGGAGGAAUACCGAUGGCGAAGGCAGCCCCCUGGGAUAACACUGACGUUCAUGCUCGAAAGCGUGGGUAGCAACA
rnacentral:rRNA from 1 species